GACGAACGCUGGCGGCGUGCUUAACACAUGCAAGUCGAACGAAGUGGCGAACGGGUGAGUAACGCGUAAUCAACCUGCCCUUCAGAGGGGGACAACAGUUGGAAACGACUGCUAAUACCGCAUACUGAAGGAGGGGGUUGCGUCUGAUUAGCUAGUUGGGGGGGUGAAGGCUGACCAAGGCGAAGACCCGUAACUGGUCUGAGAGUAUGAUCAGCCACACUGGAUCGGUGACACGGGCCAGCCUCAUCCGUGAGUCAGCAGUGGGGAAUAUUGGACAAUGGGCGAAAGCCUGAUCCAGCCAUGCCGCGUGUGUGAAGAAGGUCUUCGGAUUGUAAAGCACUUUAAGUUGGGAGGCGUUACCAACAGAAUAAGCACCGGCUAACUUCGUGCCAGCCGCCGCGGUAAUUC
rnacentral:rRNA from 1 species